AUUAGAUAAAAAACCAAUGCCCUUCGGGGCUUUCUGGUGAUUCAUAAUAACUAAACGAAUCGCAUGUUCUUGAGCCGGCGAUGGUUCAUUCAAAUUUCUGCCCUAUCAACUUUCGAUUGUAGGAUAGAGGCCUACAAUGGUUUCAACGGGUAACGGAGAAUUAGGGUUCGGUUCCGGAGAGGGAGCCUGAGAAACGGCUACCACAUCCAAGGAAGGCAGCAGGCGCGCAAAUUACCCAAUCCCGACACGGGGAGGUAGUGACAAUAAAUACUGAUACAGGGCUCUUUUGGGUCUUGUAAUUGGAAUGAGUACAAUUUAAAUCCCUUAACGAGGAACAAUUGGAGGGCAAGUCUGGUGCCAGCAGCCGCGGUAAUUCCAGCUCCAAUAGCGUAUAUUAAAGUUGUUGCAGUUAAAAAGCUCGUAGUUGAACCUUGGGUCUGGCUGGCCGGUCCGCCUCACCGCGUGCACUGGUCCGGCCGGACCUUUCCUCUUGGGGAUCCGCAUGCCCUUUACUGGG
rnacentral:rRNA from 1 species